UACGUAGGGUGCAAGCGUUAAUCGGAAUUACUGGGCGUAAAGCGCACGUAGGCGGCUUGUUAAGUCGGGGGUGAAAUCCUGGAGCUCAACUCCAGAACUGCCCUCGAUACUGAUGAGCUCGAGUCCGGGAGAGGUGAGUGGAACUGCGAGUGUAGAGGUGAAAUUCGUAGAUAUUCGCAAGAACACCAGUGGCGAAGGCGGCUCACUGGCCCGGUACUGACGCUGAGGUGCGAAAGCGUGGGGAGCAAACAGG
rnacentral:rRNA from 1 species